UAAUAUCUCUUCUAUUGAAUAAUAACAUAAUGUUGCAAAGAUCACAACUCUCCUCAGUGACAAAAAUACCUACGAAGCCUUAAAGUGAGACCCCACAAGCAGCUACAAAAAGAAAGUUAUAGCUUGCCUUCAGGACCUUGAAAAGGACAAAAUCACUGACCGCCUUACAUAUCACCGCCUGUACCCAGGGGAUGCCAUACCCUGCAUUUACGGACUUCCUAAGGUCCACAAAGAAGGUGUCCCACUCAGACUCAUUGUCAGUAGCAUAAACUCAGCCACUUACAACAUUUCAAAACACCUUUCUACCAUCCUAGCACCUCUCGUGGGGAACACCCCACAUCACAUCAAGAACUCCACCGACUUCACCGACAAGGUCCAGAAACUUACCCUGGAUCCAGAUGAAACCAUGGUGUCCUUUGGUGUAGUCUCUCUCUUCACUUGCAUACCCACCACGGAGGCAGUGGAGACUGUCAGAAAACGACUACAAGAAGACAGCUCCUUGGAAGACAGGACCAACUUCAUCCCCGAUCAGAUUUGCACACUGUUAGACCUCUGCCUUACCACUACAUAUUUCAAAUACAACGAGGGUUUCUACAGACAAAAACAUGGCUGUGCCAUGGGCUCCCCCGUGUCACCUAUUGUAGCCAACCUUUACAUGGAGGAAGUGGAAAGAAAGGCUCUUGGCUCUUUUAAAGGGAGAGUACCCAGCCACUGGUACAGAUAUGUAGACGACACCUGGGUCAAAAUCAAGACACAAGAAGUGGAAUCCUUCACUGCGCACAUUAAUGCCGUGGAUAAAAACAUCAAGUUCACCAGGGAAGACACAAAGGACAACUGUUUGCCUUUCCUGGACUGCGCUGUGCACAUUGAAGAGAACGGCAACCUCAACAUUGAAGUUUACCGGAAGCCCACACACACGGACCAGUACCUCCUCUUUGACACCCAUCACCCUCUGGAACACAAACUUGGGGUUAUCAGGACCCUACACCACCAGGCAGAACAUGUUCCCUCUAAGCCUGAAGGGAAAAAGAAGGAACACACACAUGUAAAGGAAGCACUUAAAACAUGCGGUUAUCCUAACUGGGCGUUCAUAAAGUCAGCAAAGAGGCACAGAAAAGAAGAUCAGACACCAGCGAGGGAGGAUAAGAAAGACAGACGCAACAACGUUGUCAUCCCCUAUGUAGCCGGUGUAUCAGAGAAACUCAGGAGAGUUUUCUCCAAGCACGACAUCCCAGUGUACUUCAGACCCAGCAACACACUCAGACACAAACUGGUUCACCCGAAAGACAAAACUCCAAAACACAAACUUAACAAUGUGGUGUAUGCUGUACAGUGCAGCGAGGAAUGCCCAGACCUCUACAUUGGAGAGACCAAACAGCCACUUCACAAGCGCAUGGCACAACAUAGAAGAGCCACCUCCACGGGACAAGACUCAGCAGUCCAUCUGCAUCUAAAGGACAAAGGUCACUCUUUCGAGGAUACCAAAAUUCACAUUUUGGACGGAGAGGACAGAUGGUUUGAAAGAGGAGUGAAAGAAACCAUCUAUGUCCACUGUGAGCGACCAUCUUUGAACAGAGGCGGUGGUUUACGACACCAACUGUCUGCCAUCUGUAAUCCAGUUUUGAGAUCCCUUCCAGACGCCUUAACGCCCACUCACACCCUGGGCCAUCUGACCUCAGGAAAUCACAUGAUAGGGUGGGGCCAGGUUUCACAAUGAGCUCACCCGAAACCCUGGCUGAUUGUGACCCACACCUUGGCUCAUGUGAUUAGGUAGAGGAUCAUCAGAGGUCCUUUUGUCCCUCUUUGGGGGGGAUACUCCCAUGGGGUUUAAAUCUGGGACUCUCCACCAUUUGACCCUAGAACUGAAGAAGCAGUUGAGCUGGU
rnacentral:lncRNA from 1 species